rnacentral:rRNA from 1 species
AUUGAACGCUGGCGGCAUGCCUUACACAUGCAAGUCGAACGGUAACAGGUCUUCGGAUGCUGACGAGUGGCGAACGGGUGAGUAAUACAUCGGAACGUGCCUAGUAGUGGGGGAUAACUACUCGAAAGAGUGGCUAAUACCGCAUGAGAUCUACGGAUGAAAGCAGGGGAUCGCAAGACCUUGUGCUACUAGAGCGGCCGAUGGCAGAUUAGGUAGUUGGUGGGAUAAAAGCUUACCAAGCCGACGAUCUGUAGCUGGUCUGAGAGGACGAUCAGCCACACUGGGACUGAGACACGGCCCAGACUCCUACGGGAGGCAGCAGGGGGGAAUUUUGGAAAAUGGGCGAAAGCCUGAUCCAGCAAUGCCGCGUGCAGGAUGAAGGCCUUCGGGUUGUAAACUGCUUUUAUACGGAACGAAAAGCCCCGGGUUAAUACCCUGGGGUCAUGACGGUACCGUAAGAAUAAGCACCGGCUAACUACGUGCCAGCCGCCGCCGUAA